CGCGGCCUAUCAGCUUGUUGGUGGGGUAAUGGCCUACCAAGGCGACGACGGGUAGCCGACCUGAGAGGGUGACCGGCCACACUGGGACUGAGACACGGCCCAGACUCCUACGGGAGGCAGCAGUGGGGAAUAUUGCACAAUGGGCGGAAGCCUGAUGCAGCGACGCCGCGUGAGGGAUGAAGGCCUUCGGGUUGUAAACCUCUUUCAGCAGGGACGAAGCGUGAGUGACGGUACCUGCAGAAGAAGCACCGGCUAACUACGUGCCAGCAGCCGCGGUAAUACGUAGGGUGCGAGCGUUGUCCGGAAUUACUGGGCGUAAAGAGUUCGUAGGCGGUUUGUCGCGUCGUUUGUGAAAACCCGGGGCUCAACUUCGGGCUUGCAGGCGAUACGGGCAGACUUGAGUGUUUCAGGGGAGACUGGAAUUCCUGGUGUAGCGGUGAAAUGCGCAGAUAUCAGGAGGAACACCGGUGGCGAAGGCGGGUCUCUGGGAAACAACUGACGCUGAGGAACGAAAGCGUGGGUAGCAAACAGGAUUAGAUACCCUGGUAGUCCACGCCGUAAACGGUGGGCGCUAGGUGUGGGUUCCUUCCACGGGAUCUGUGCCGUAGCUAACGCAUUAAGCGCCCCGCCUGGGGAGUACGG
rnacentral:rRNA from 1 species